rnacentral:rRNA from 1 species
GACAAUCCCGUACUUGACACGACAACCGGUGCUCUGUGAUACACUUUCUACGAGUCGAGUUGUUUGGGAAUGCAGCUCAAAAUGGGUGGUAAAUUCCAUCUAAAGCUAAAUAUAGGCGAGAGACCGAUAGCGAACAAGUACCGUGAGGGAAAGAUGAAAAGCACUUUGGAAAGAGAGUUAAACAGUACGUGAAAUUGUUGAAAGGGAAACGAUUGAAGUCAGUCGUGUCUGUUGGUUUCAGCCGGUCCUGCCGGUGUAUUACCAACAGACGGGUCAACAUCAGUUUUGAGCGGUGGAAAAAGGUGGAAGGAACGUAGCUCCCCCGGGAGUGUUAUAGCCUUCUAUUGCAUACACUGCUUGAGACUGAGGAAUGCAGCUCGCCCUUUAUGGCCGGGGUUCGCCCACGUUCGAGCUUAGGAUGUUGACAUAAUGGCUUUAAACGACCCGUCUUGAAACACGGACCAAGGAGUCUAACAUAUCUGCGAGUGUUUGGGGUGUCAAACCCGAGCGCGUAAAUGAAAGUUGAACGUAAGGAACGAUCCGCAAGGAGCAGUUUCGACCGAUCUGGAUCUUUUGUGAUGGAUUUGAGUAAGAGCAUAUAUGCUGGGACCCGAAAGAUGGUGAAACUAUGCCUGAAUAGGGGGAAGUCAGGG